rnacentral:ncRNA from 1 species
AAAAGACUUAGUCCUAACCUUACCGUUGAUUGUUGCCAAACACAUACAUGCAAGCAUCCACGUCCCAGUGUAAAUGCCCCCAACAACCUUACUAAGACAAAAGGAGCAGGUAUCAGGCACACAACUGCAGCCCAAGACACCUAGCCAAGCCACACCCCCACGGGUACUCAGCAGUAGUUAACAUUAAGCAAUAAGCGCAAGCUUGACUUAGUUACGGCAAACUCUAGGGCUGGUUAAUCUUGUGCCAGCCACCGCGGUCAUACAAGAAACCCAAACCAACGGCACACACGGCGUAAAGAGUGACAUGACGAUAUCACCCUAACUAGGAUUAAAACACGACUGAGCUGUCAUAAGCACAAGACGUGUAGAAGAACCUCAUGAAAAAAGAUCCUAGCUAACAUGACCAAAUUAUUGUCACGAAAGCUAAGACACAAACUGGGAUUAGAUACCCCACUAUGCUUAGCCCUAAAUCCUGACACUUCCUAAACUAAAGUGUCCGCCUGAGAACUACGAGCACAAACGCUUAAAACUCUAAGGACUUGGCGGUGCCUCAAACCCACCUAGAGGAGCCUGUUCUAUAAUCGAUAACCCACGCUACACCCGACCGCUCUUUGCCUCGUCAGCCUACAUACCGCCGUCGUCAGCUUACCUAUCUUGAAAGGACAGCAGUGAGCGUAAUAGCCCUAACCACGCUAAAAAGACAGGUCAAGGUAUAGCCCAUAGAGCGGAAGAAAUGGGCUACAUUUUCUAACCUAGAAAACUACGAAAGCGGGCAUGAAAUCCCCCCAGAAGGCGGAUUUAGCAGUAAAGUUGCAUCAUAGUGCCAUCUUAAAACCGGCCCCGGGGCACGUACAUACCGCCCGUCACCCUCCUCGCAAGCUACUUGCAUAAGUAAUUAACACCAACUUCUAGCCAAAGAUGAGGUAAGUCGUAACAAGGUAAGUGUACCGGAAGGUGUACUUAGCAUACC